rnacentral:rRNA from 1 species
AACGAACGCUGGCGGCGUGGAUAAGACAUGCAAGUCGAACGAGACAAAGUUUGUAGCAAUACAAAUUUUGUUUAGUGGCGCACGGGUGCGUAACACGUGAGCAAUCUGCCGGGAAGUGGGGGAUAGCUCGCCGAAAGGCGAAUUAAUACCGCAUGUGGCCAGGAGGAUCAUUUCUCCGAAGCCAAAGUAGCAAUACGCUUCCUGAUGAGCUCGCGGCCUAUCAGCUAGAUGGCGGGGUAACGGCCCACCAUGGCUAUGACGGGUAGCUGGUCUGAGAGGACGACCAGCCACACUGGAACUGAGACACGGUCCAGACACCUACGGGUGGCAGCAGUCGAGAAUUUUUCACAAUGGGGGAAACCCUGAUGGAGCGACGCCGCGUGGAGGACGAAGGCCUUCGGGUUGUAAACUCCUGUCAUGCGGGAACAAGAAAGUGAUAGUACCGCAAGAGGAAGAGACGGCUAACUCUGUGCCAGCAGCCGCAGUAACAC